GCAGGCAGCUCUUCCGCUGGCGCAGGCAGACUCGUUCUGCUGGGAUCUGCAGAAAAGGCAGAUUGGAGAAGUCAUGGAUCCCAGAUCAUUUCCCCACGUCUGGAUUUUGCCAGCCACAAGCUGUCCAAUUGGGCUCUGGAGACUUCCGCAGUGGGCAAUCAGUGAUGCCACUGAAGAAAUUCUCCUGCAUGAUCAAGGACACACCAGCCCCGUCUAAACGAGAGAGCAGAAAUUGUCCUCCUCUAGAAACUGUGCCCGUGGGGAGAGCACAUCUAAGCCUUGUGCUGAAACAGAAAAAGAAGUUUACCUGAAGAGGUUGGGAGCCCACACAAUUGCUAAGUUCUUAGCGGGCAUCUUUGUGGCAGAGCAGCUCCCAGCGAGACAAGCCAAGUGCCUCACCAGGUACUCCAGUGUCCUGGAAAGCAAGAGGCAAACCUUCAGCACCAGUGAGCACGCCGUGCUGCAAUUCACAAAACAAACCUCAAGACACGCCAGUUCUUGCUCUUGCUACGGAAUAGGAAGUAGAUCAAGCUUUCCCAGGUGCCACGCUGCAGCACCAAGCCCCAGCACAGCACAGACGCAGCCAUCAGCUGCACCAGCCGUGCCCCAGGAACUGACC
ensembl:lncRNA